GACGAACGCUGGCGGCGUGCCUAAUACAUGCAAGUUGAGCGCUGAAGGUUGGUACUUGUACCCACUGGAUGAGCAGCGAACGGGUGAGUAACGCGUGGGGAAUCUGCCUUUGAGCGGGGGACAACAUUUGGAAACGAAUGCUAAUACCGCAUAAAAACUUUAAACACAAGUUUUAAGUUUGAAAGAUGCAAUUGCAUCACUCAAAGAUGAUCCCGCGUUGUAUUAGCUAGUUGGUGAGGUAAAGGCUCACCAAGGCGAUGAUACAUAGCCGACCUGAGAGGGUGAUCGGCCACAUUGGGACUGAGACACGGCCCAAACUCCUACGGGAGGCAGCAGUAGGGAAUCUUCGGCAAUGGACGAAAGUCUGACCGAGCAACGCCGCGUGAGUGAAGAGGGUUUUCGGAUCGUAAAACUCUGUUGGUAGAGAAGAACGUUGGUGAGAGUGGAAAGCUCAUCAAGUGACGGUAACUAACCAGAAAGGGACGGCUAACUACGUG
rnacentral:rRNA from 1 species